GAUCCUGUAGCUCAGUCUGGUCAGAGCGCUAGUCUUAUAAGCUAGAGGUUCCUGGGUUCAAAUCCCAGCAGGAUCA
rnacentral:tRNA from 1 species